rnacentral:rRNA from 1 species
CUACGGGUUGCUGCAGUGGGGAAUAUAGCACAAUGGGCGCAAGCCUGAUGCAGCAACGCCGCGUGAGGGAUGAAGGCCUUCGGGUUGUAAACCUCUUUUAGCAGGGAAGAAGCGAAAGUGACGGUACCUGCAGAAAAAGCACCGGCUAACUACGUGCCAGCAGCCGCGGUAAUACGUAGGGUGCAAGCGUUGUCCGGAAUUAUUGGGCGUAAAGAGCUCGUAGGCGGUUUGUCACGUCUGCUGUGAAAAUCCAAGGCUCAACCUUGGACUUGCAGUGGGUACGGGCAGGCUAGAGUGCGGUAGGGGAGAUGGGAAUUCCUGGUGUAGCGGUGGAAUGCGCAGAUAUCAGGAGGAACACCAAUGGCGAAGGCACACCUCUGGGCCGUAACUGACGCUGAGGAGCGAAAGCGUGGGGAGCGAACAGGAUUAGAUACCCGAGUAGUC